rnacentral:rRNA from 1 species
UACGGGGGGAGCAAGCGUUGUUCGGAUUUACUGGGCGUAAAGGGCGCGUAGGCGGUCGUGACAAGUCACUUGUGAAAUCUCCGGGCUUAACUCGGAACGGUCAAGUGAUACUGUCGGACUAGAGUACAGAAGGGGCAACUGGAAUUCUCGGUGUAGCGGUGAAAUGCGUAGAGAUCGGGAAGAACAUCGGUGGCGAAAGCGCUCUACUGGGCCAUAACUGACACUCAGGGACGAAAGCUAGGGGAGCGAAUGGG